UCUGCCCUUAGAGGCAAUGCAGGUGUGGCUGCUGUGUUGUAAGUACGUCAGUAGGUGGCAGAGAGGAGAGAAGCCAUGUCUACUCCCAGUGUUCUGACCCAUGAACAUCUGAAUAAUAAGUAGCUUAACAAG